rnacentral:snRNA from 1 species
GGAUGCGAGGGCAAUCUGGUUGUGACGUCUGUCAUCUCACUGGUCACCAGGGUUGACCUGGCUGGCUAGGUGGGUGUCCCCUUCCUCCGUCCCUGCACGUUCCUCUAGCUGUGAUCUGGGUUGAAGUGGACAGCCUUCAGAAGGGCUGGUUGGCCUUCAGUCAAGGGUAUAGGAGCAGCUGUGCGCUUGCCUGCUAGGACCUCUAACCAGCUCCCAAACUGAAUAGAGCAGAAUGUUCAUCCAGCACAGCCCCAGGCCUGUGG